GUUAAUUCCUUGUGAAAUUGUAGCGCUACCUUCCAUUUUUUUUUAUCUUUGUCAUACCGUUCCCCUGCAUUUUCUUAACAUCAAACGCCAUUUGGAGCGCUGUGGCCAAGUGGAUUAGUCUUCUGACUUUGAAACAGAGGGUCGUUGGUUCGAAUCUCAGCCAUGGCGUAAUUUCCUUCAGCAAGAAACUCAUCCACAUUGUGCUGUACUCAACCCAGGUGAGGUGAAUGGGUACCCGGUAGGAAGAAAUUCCUUGAAUGCUUGAGCGCCUAGGCAGCUCAGCUAAAGCCGGGCCCGCUGUUUGAACAGUUUUCGAAACUGAAGUGGCUACCCUUGGGCAUUUCCUCGUCGUUGUAGGGGGAACAUCUCCGAUCGCCCUUAAGCUGCACCAUUGGUUUCAAGCAGACAGGAGAUGGCCCAUUGCAGACGACACAUAUUUUACCCGCCCAAUUAAGUGAAUUGCCUAAUUUGAUAGACGACAUGUCCGAUUUGUUCUCAUGCAUGGUCCAACCCACACACACCGAUAGCUUGAUAAGAGAACCUUCCCUGGCGACCUUCUGUUGGUGUUGGGGUGGAUGGUCACAUAGAACGUGAUUUCAAUGAAAAUGAAAUAGAACACUCCUCUAUGAGUGAAAAGAAGAUAUCCAAACUCUAGAUAUAUUCGUCCUCCGUCCCAGCAGUGAUCAUUAUAAACCAUUAUCCCAAUCCAUCUAAAUCAUUGCAGCAGACAUGACACUUGAUCACUUCAUGUCAAUUCGUUUGCUUGCAGAUGUACAAUUACAAUCUGGAAAAAGACAAACUGCAGGCAGGCAACAUUCGAUGCAUUAUUGAAUCAUGAAGUGUGACAUGUCUGUUUCCGCCAUCAAUCGCUAGAUCGAAAACACUUGCUGUAAAAAGUGGUGGAGCACUUCGAGUAUGAGGAUGGGUAGAAUCACAGAGGACAGGGGGAUCUGUCAAAAUUUUGGACAAAUACGGCAAAGUGCGUUAUCACGGCCUGAAGAUAUCAGUGGAUUAUAGAGAAGACCCUCUUCUGUAAAACUUCCCACUUUCUUCCGCAUUGUUCUGGCACUGUAGUCCAUUUAAGAUCUUCGUCUCAGUGGAUGAGCGUGUACACAUCAUUCUUUAUAUUCAAUUUCAAAUUGUUUCGGCCUUAGUCGUUUGUGCCGUGUAGAUGUAAGGUUUUCCUCUGAUAAAGAUCCUAAAUCCUAUAAUAAAAUCCGGUAAUGCUCAUGUAAAGACAACCUUGAGUGUACUUGAAUGUAUUGCCCCCCCCCCCCCCCCAAGCGUGUACAAUUAUUCCAAGCAUAUAGGGAAAUAGCGUGUUACUCAUUUGGAUCAUGGACAUCAUUACAAGGAGAAGGAAAAAUACCCCUACCAAGACAUGCCGCUACAUCACCCUCCAUGAAAAAAAUGAUGAUACUGCUCAAUCAUUCCUCGACCACGAUAGUACAUCGACAUGGAGAACUAGGAUACUUCUACCGCAGUAAUACUGCCAAUUUGGCAUCCACUGCAGUUCAAUAACCAUAUGUGUCUAAGUCAAUUCAUCGACACCCAUUUUCCUUUGGCUAAUGUAAGUGAACUAUUGAUGUAUUAUAUUGUUCUUGUUUUAUUCACAAACGCACUCAUUUAAAUGUAUAAAUGUCUUUGAAAAAAAUGACUUUAACUUAAUGACCUACACAAUAAUUAUACAUUGAUCUCAUGAUUAUCUAAGCUCAAGUAUAUCAAAACUGUAACUGAAUCGAUUUACUGUUUAUUGUAUUGUUUUCGCUUACUGAAACAAUUUUUUUUUAUUACAAAAAUCAGUAGUGCCGUUAUUACUAAUUUAUAUAACAGUAUUUUCCAAUGACACAAUUAUUACAGUGUUAAUGCCCAUAACCGACGACACCAUAUGGUUUUUUUUUAAUGUAAUGGUAGCUAAAACUUUACCGAGUACAGUACAAUUUAUUAACCAAUCUCGUAAUGGACAGUUUUAUCAGACAUUUAUUUUGAUUAACUGAUAUGCAAAAUGAAAUGCACCGACUGUGAAUGAUGGUUAGGUUUACUGAACUUGUAAUACAUUCUGUAUUUAUGGAUUCAAGGCCAAUACGUUCUGUAAAAAAAUAACUUUGACAGGACAUAAUAUGGUUGAGGGAAGAAUCGGUGAAGGAUAUUAAAAAUAAACGAACCAAUUAAUCGGGAAGAAGACACCAAUCAUCUGUGUCACGUUUAUGAGUAGUGUAUAUCUGGACGUUAGUUGUUCUUUUUUUGGAAAACCCUACAUUCAUUUAUCCUACACAAUGUACACGCUACAUCUUUUCACUUCCGUGUGUGAGGGAGGGUGUGUAUGUGUGUGAGGGUGUACACUCUGUGGGAUGUAUGAGUGUAGGAUCUCCAAAGACAGAAAUACUACCGUCCAGAUCGAGACUAGUUUAUACGCAGAAAUGUUUUAUGAAAGCGUUACAGGUGCAUCUUUCACAACAGCUUUCUCGGGCACCCAAUGCAUUUCUCCAUAAUUUAGAUUAAAGUGAGAAUUAGUGAUCAAAAUACGCAUGUAGUUACUGAAUUAUUACGAAAGAGAACAUCCCGUGCGUGGUCACAUAUAUCAGGAUUAUUUUUACAGCAAAUCAAAAUAUGACAUGAAAUUAUGCAAUUCCACUACUUUUCUUAAAUAAACAAAAAUCUUAGAUGGCUAUUUCGAGACGGGUGUUUAAGUUGAAUUUGAAAUAGGGAUAUGUGCAACCAGCAUUAAGUCUUUGUUUCGCUUGGUGUAAAACCCCGACUUGCAGUUCAGGGAGGAGGAAUACCUACGGUAAAAUAUUUGGUAUAGGCCUUGAAUAUGUCACAUGCAAAAUUAAGACUAAUUUGUACGACCACGAUGUCCGGGCAGUCAGGCAUGCCGAUAAAGCGGCAAAUAAAUACGACAAAUUCAUCAGUUAUGACUGCGUGGUAAAAGAAGAUACGGCCUGACACAUAUCGGUAUGACCUGUGGAAUAGAUGUGUACGUGUGGCUUGGUGCGACACAUAUAGGUGUGUCUGUUCAAAUGAUAGAUGGUUCCAGAUGAAAGCAUCCUUGCGGCCUAUAUAGCGUCGUAUUCGCUUGAUGGAUGAUCACGUUAUAGGUCUUGAGUGAUAUUCCUCAUGCUUGCACUAUGUUCAAUAUGUCACCUAUCGAAAAAUGUUCAUGUUCUAUGAUCAUGAUAGUCUUUUUAUCUCAAUGAAACUAAGUUAUGCAUGAUUGGUGAUAUGUCCUUAGGAUCAAAUCGUAUUCUUAAUCCAUUUUAUUGAGAUGAAAUCCGAUUAUUGAAUACAUAUUAGAAUUAGUUACUUUCCUAGCUUCUGAACUUUAAUUCAUUUGUAAGAUUUGAGUGGAGAUAUAGGUGAUUCAGUCACACGACAAAUAUAAGUAUUGUUUAACAUCUUUAAACAUUGGCAAAAAGAAGCGGCUGAAAACUGCUUAUCUAAUAAAAGAGAGCCAAUGGAGUAAAUUAGAAAGUCAAAAUGGGGCCUAAGCUUUCGAUCCUAGCAGAAUCUUCGUCGGAGGCAAAAUGACAAACAUAUAAAGUGGAACAACCACAAUAUAGACCACAAACAAGCUACAGCAACACUAGAAACAAGGAGACAAAAGGGGCAUUAGUGAGUAGAGAAGACCAAUCAGGUUAGUGAAGGGGAUGAAAGAAAAGGAGUAGGCAGACACAAAGGGAAGUUAGUGUAAGUAAGGCCAGUAAAAGACCUCAAGCCACGAGGGAUUAAGAUAAUGAGGCAGGCAACAUCAAACAGGAUCUGGAACAAAACAGUGAUAAUGG